GCCGGGAUGUUGUAAUUGGUAGCCAAGCACGCUUGAGGUGCGUGUGCCAGAAAUGGCGUGGAGGUUCGAGUCCUCUUCCCGGCA
rnacentral:tRNA from 1 species